GGGUGGGGGACUUAGAGCGGCCCGUAGGGCCCCCGUGAAGAAGUCCCCUGCCGCGGGGUUGCACA
rnacentral:snoRNA from 21 species